UUCAUCGGCCGGGAAUCGAACCCGGGCCGCCCGUGUGGCAGGCGAGCAUUCUACCACUGAAUCACCGAUAC
rnacentral:tRNA from 1 species